UACGUAGGGUCCGAGCGUUGUCCGGAAUUACUGGGCGUAAAGAGCUCGUAGGUGGUUUGUCGCGUUGUUCGUGAAAACUCACAGCUUAACUGUGGGCGUGCGGGCGAUACGGGCAGACUUGAGUACUGCAGGGGAGACUGGAAUUCCUGGUGUAGCGGUGGGAAUGCGCAGAUAUCAGGAGGAACACCGGUGGCGAAGGCGGGUCUCUGGGCAGUAACUGACGCUGAGGAGCGAAAGCGUGGGGAGCGAACAGG
rnacentral:rRNA from 1 species